AGGAAGAUAAGCUAAAUAAGCUAUUAGGUUCAUACCCUGCUUAUAGGAGUAAUAAUCUCCUUCUCCCUA
rnacentral:tRNA from 1 species